GAUGAACGCUGGCGGCGUGCCUAAUACAUGCAAGUCGAGCGGUAACACUUCGGGUGACGAGCGGCGGACGGCAGAGUAACGCGUAGGAACGUACCCCAAACUGAGGGAUAAGCACCGGAAACGGUGUCUAAUACCGCAUAUUAUUUUCGUAAUCAAAGCCUUCGGGCGGGUUUGGGUAGGCGGCCUGCGUAUGAUUAGUUAGUUGGUGAGGUAACGGCUCACCAAGACGACGAUCAUUAGCUGGCUGAGAGGAUGAUCAGCCUGACUGGAACUGAGACACGGUCCAGACUCCUACGGGAGGCAGCAGUAGGGAAUUUUCCGCAAUGGGCGAGAGCCUGACGGAGCAACGCCGCGUGCAGGAGGAAGGCCUU
rnacentral:rRNA from 1 species